CCUGAAGGACAACAUCACUCUCCUUGCUCUUCCUGUUAUAAAUGACAGUACCACCCAUUUCUUCUCCAGCUAAGGAAGGAUAGAUCCAACACUUAAAGAACAGAUGCUCAGAGCUUGCUGUUUAGAAAGGUGGGAAGUGCAUCAGAUCCAAAGUAUUAUUAAAAUCCGCUAAAUGGAUAGACAUAAUUGCACUUAAAAUUGAAGUUGGGUGGCCUCUGUGCCCAGCUAUGUGUAUAUCAGUGUGUGUGUGUGUGUGUGUGUGUGUGUGUGUGUGUGUGUGUGUGUGUGAGCUCGAGUGCAUGCACUCAUAAGUGCACAGCUUAUGGCAAUCAGACCCAGCCACCAAUUAGUUUCUCACUUUGGUUCAUUUUGGUUGCUGUAAGCUGUUAAGUUGUCUUUAUUAUUUGUUGGAUAUGGUUUUGUUUGUAACCAACGUAGACCAGUUCGGCAAUAAAAAGUGACAAAGACGGGAAACAUAAAGAGUUUAUGUUGAGCCACCCCCAAGCUAAUGAGGAGUUGAGGAGUGAGAAUUCUGCAAAUUCACCUCAAGGUUAUUUUUACCAGCUCCAUACGUUAGGAUCACCUGAUCCAAGUCCUUAUGUAGGUCAUUGAAAUGUCUUUAGUAUACCAGAUGAGGAAAGAGGCAGGAGUGGGGGGAGGAACAGAGAAUGCAGAGAUCACUUGAUUUGCCUUUUUAUUGAUU
rnacentral:lncRNA from 1 species